rnacentral:miRNA from 1 species
GGCAGCAGACGUCUGAGGAUGCCCUGGUCCUCAGUGUUGGGCUGAGAAAGCAGCUGACGGGACACCAUCAUGGCAGGUCUGAAGCUUGGGGAGCUGGUCUCCUACACACACUCAGGU